rnacentral:tRNA from 1 species
GGUCGGUUGACCGAGUGGCCAGGUAGCGGUCUGCAAAACCGUGUACGGCGGUUCGACUCCGCCACCGACCU